rnacentral:rRNA from 2 species
GAGAGGUGCUUGCACCUCUUGAGAGCGGCGGACGGGUGAGUAAUGCCUAGGAAUCUGCCUGGUAGUGGGGGAUAACGCUCGGAAACGGACGCUAAUACCGCAUACGUCCUACGGGAGAAAGCAGGGGACCUUCGGGCCUUGCGCUAUCAGAUGAGCCUAGGUCGGAUUAGCUAGUUGGUGAGGUAAUGGCUCACCAAGGCGACGAUCCGUAACUGGUCUGAGAGGAUGAUCAGUCACACUGGAACUGAGACACGGUCCAGACUCCUACGGGAGGCAGCAGUGGGGAAUAUUGGACAAUGGGCGAAAGCCUGAUCCAGCCAUGCCGCGUGUGUGAAGAAGGUCUUCGGAUUGUAAGCACUUUAAGUUGGGAGGAAGGGCAUUAACCUAAUACGUUAGUGUUUUGACGUUACCGACAGAAUAAGCACCGGCUAACUCUGUGCCAGCAGCCGCGGUAAUACAGAGGGUGCAAGCGUUAAUCGGAAUUACUGGGCGUAAAGCGCGCGUAGGUGGUUCGUUAAGUUGGAUGUGAAAG